rnacentral:rRNA from 1 species
AUUGAACGCUGGCGGCAGGCCUAACACAUGCAAGUCGAACGAGUGGCGGACGGGUGAGUAAUGUCUGGGAAAAUGCCUGAUGGAGGGGGACAAAAACUGGAAACGGUAGCUAAUACCGCAUACCAUCAGAUGUGCCCAGAUGGGAUUAGCGUGUUGGUGGGGUAACGGCUCACCAAGGCGACGAUCCUGAGCUGGUCUGCGAGGAUGACCUGCCACACUGGCACUGAGACACGGUCCAGACUCCUACGGGAGGCAGCAGUGGGGCAUAUUGCACAAUGGGCGCAAGCCUGAUGCAGCCAUGCCGCGUGUAUGAAGAAGGCCUUCGGGUUGUAAAGUACUUUCAGCAGGGAAGCGUUACCCGCAGAAGAAGCACCGGCUAACUCCGUGCCAGCAGCCGCGGUAAUUC